rnacentral:tRNA from 1 species
CGGCUGCGGGGCCGCGGCCGCCGGGGCGGUCGCCUUGCGGGUGGCGCGGCGGCGCGUCCGGCCGUUCGGCUCGGCCUCGACCGUC